UACGUAGGGGGGCAAGCGUUGUCCGGAUUCAUUGGGCGUAAAGAGCGUGUAGGCGGCCAGGUAGGUCGGUUGUGAAAACUGGAGGCUCAACCUUCAGAGGUCGACCGAAACCAUCUGGCUAGAGUCCGGGAGAGGAGAGUGGAAUUCCCGGUGUAGCGGUGAAAUGCGCAGAUAUCGGGAAGAACACCCGUGGCGAAGGCGGUUCUCUGGGACGGUACUGACGCUGAGACGCGAAAGCGUGGGGAGCGAACAGG
rnacentral:rRNA from 1 species